rnacentral:misc_RNA from 1 species
GAUGAAGAACGUAGCGAAAUGCGAUAAGUAGUGUGAAUUGCAGAAUUCAGUGAAUCAUCGAAUCUUUGAACGCACAUUGCGCCCCUUGGUAUCCCGAGGGGCAUGCCUGUUCGAGCGUCAUUUCACCACUCAAGCCUGGCUUGGUGUUGGGCGACGUCCCCUUUGGGGACGCGCCUUGAAACGCUCGGCGGCGUGGCACCGGCUUUAAGCGUAGCAGAAUCUUUCGCUUUGGAAGUCGGGGCCCCGUCUGCCGGAAGACCUACUCGCAAGGUUGACCUCGAAUCAGGCAGGGAUACCCGCUGAACUUAAGCAUAUCAAUAAGCGGAGGA